rnacentral:rRNA from 1 species
CCGACGGUGAGGGACGAAAGCUGGGGGAGCAAACCGGAUUAGAUACCCGGGUAGUCCCAGCCGUAAACGGUGUGCGUUAGGUGUAUCGGUGACCACGAGCCACCGAGGUGCCGAAGAGAAAUCGUGAAACGUACCGCCUGGGAAGUACGGUCGCAAGGCUGAAACUUAAAGGAAUUGGCGGGGGAGCACCACAACAGGUGGAGCCUGCGGUUUAAUCGGACUCAACGCCGGGAAACUCACCAGAUAA